AAAACAUCUGGGUAUCUUCUCUGGAGGAGUCUGGGGCUGCUACCCAGGAUUAGGCCUCCCUAAAGCAGAGAUGAAAAGACUCCAGGACGUGCUUGGGAGCAAUCAUGGUUGGAUUAUGGAGGUGGGAGAGUUUCUCAGAAUGUAAAAAAUAUCUCAGGUGGCAUCCUUGGAGGAGUGUGAGGGUGCUAUCUUGGAUCUGAUAUCCAUGGAGCAGGGCGCAGGACUGUCUGGGACAUAUGAGAAAGGAAUCUUGGUCAGGUCCCAGAGGGGAGAGUGAAUUAUCAGAGAGACAAAACAUCUGGGUAUCUUCCUUGGAAGAGUCUGUGGCUGCUACCUGGGAUCUCAGGGCACCACAGCAGCUCUCAGGACAGUCUGGGACAUGUCUGGGAGGAAUCUUGGUCAGAUCUCAGAGAAUAGUCCAUUAUUCAGGGAGAAAAUACGUCUAAAUAUGGUCCUUGGAGGAGUCUGGGGUUUCUUCCCAGGAUUAGGCUUGCGAAAUCCCCGCGAAAAGACACCAGAAUAUUGCUGGGAGGAAGCGUGGGAUGAUGCUGAAGCCAAAAUCUUUCUUUACAGGAGAAAACACAUCUCGGGUGUCUCCUUUGGAGGUGUCAGGAGCUGCUGCCUGUGAUGUGAUGGCCCUAAACCAAAGGAGAGAAGAGAGCAGGAGAUGCCUGUCAGAAGAUCUGGGUGGAAGCUGGAGAUGAGGUUUCUCCAGAUGGUAAAAAAUAUUUCCUGUGGCCUCCUUGGAGACUUCUUGGGCUGUACCUGGGAUCUCAGGGCCCUGUAUCAGCAUCAGGUCAGUGUGUGACAUGUCUGGGAGGAAUCUUGUUCAGAUCCCUGAGAAGAGCAUGUGUUAUCAGGGAAAAAAAAAUUCUGGUUAUCUUCCUUGGAAGAGUUUGUGGCUGCUACCUGGGAUCUCAGGGCACUGCAGCAGCUCGUAGGACAGUUUGGGACAUGUCUGGGAGGAAUGUUGAUGAGAUCCCAGAGAAUAGACCAUUAUUCAGGG